GGGAGUAGGGUGUAGGGUGUAGAGAGUGAGGUGUAGAGAAUAGGGUGCAGGGAGUGGGGAGUAGAGAGUAAGGGUGUAUGGAGUAGGGUGUAGGGAGUAGGGUGUGUGGUGUAGGGAAUAAAGAGUAGGGGAGUAUGGAGUAGGGAGUAGAGCGUAAGGGAGUAUGGAGUAGGGGAGUAUGCUGUAGGGUGUAGGGAGUAUGGUGUAGGGAGUAUGGAGUAGGGUGUAGGGAGUAGGGUGUAGGGAGUAUGGUGUAUGGUGUAGUGUGUAUGGUGUAUGGUGUAGGGAGUAUGGUGUAGGGUGUAGGGAGUAUGGUGUAGGGUAUAGGGUGUAGGGAGUAUGGUGUAGGGUGUAGGGAGUAUGGUGUAGGGUGUAUGGUGUAGGGUGUAGGGAGUAUGGUGUAUGGUGUAGUGUGUAUUGUGUAUGGUGUAGGGAGUAUGGUGUGGGGUGUAUGGAGUAUGGUGUAGGGAGUAUGGUGUAGGGUGUAUGGUGAAGGGAGUAGGGUGUAUGGUGUAGGGUGUAGGGUGUAUGGUGUAGGGUGUAUGGUGUAGGGUGUAUGGUGUAGGGUGUAGGGAGUAUGGUGUAGGGUGUAGGGAGUAUGGUGUAGGGAGUAUGGUGUAGGGUGUAGGGUGUAUGGUGUAGGGUGUAGGGUGUAUGGUGUAGGGUGUAGGGAGUAGGGUGUAGGGAGUAUGGUGUAGGGAGUAUGGUGUAGGGUGUAGGGAGUAUGGUGUAG
ensembl:lncRNA